rnacentral:lncRNA from 1 species
ACAAAUCCCCUGUAACACCCUCCAACCCUAAAUCCAUCAUUUUUACCGACAAUCAAGCUUCAAUAUCUCCCAAAAUCACCCCUAGAACAACCCCGUUCCCCUCAUCCCAGAAACCCAUUUAGUUUUUCUCAAAUAUCCCCAAAACCUCAUAAAUCAGUCCGCUUCGAGUCUGAAGUUGAAGAAGAAGAAAUUCGCCAAUUUGUCAGCUACCUUGAGCGAUAGGGAUCGAAACGAGCAUUGGCCAUGUGUUUUCGUCGAGAACACCUGGUUAAUAUUUGUUUCAACUCGAAUCGAAGCCGCAAUUCAUUCAAGUCAGACAUUUGCUUUCUUUUAGGUAUUUCACUUCGUCUCUGUUCGUCGACAUGUUUCCGUUUCUGUUUAUUUCGUCGCUUCGUUCUUCUCUGUUUCUUCGUCACCUUCUGUCACUGCCAAUCUUCCCAUAUUUUCUUCUUGUUUGUUUUGUUGUUGCUUGGUUCUUCUAGCUAAAUAUCGUAACGUCGAGUUGAUUUCUGUCCAAUUGAUUCACAUCUGUUGAUUGCUGAAGUAUCCAGAUUUAUUUUGAGAUGACUUCAAAUGGUUUUUGGUGCAAUUGAGGUAGUCGAGUUAAGUUUCUGUUUCCUGGGAAUUUCAUAGGGUUUAUGGCCAUUUUCGAAGUCUACAUGGUUAAUUUGGUGUUGCUUUGAGCGGAUCUAUGAGUUUUGGUUGAUUUAAACAUCUCUGGGCUUUCGAUUCUGCUUCCUGGGCUGUUGUUGAUCUUUGCAAUUUGCUGCUGAUCCAUUUCUUUUCAUUUUUCCUUCAUUCAGGUACCUCUUCAGCUUGUUUUGAUGUAGUCUCACCAAAGAAAAUAAAAAAUGAAGAUGUCACUUGAUGUUUGUUGAAGUUUGGAUAUAUUAGUUCUUCUAUCUGCAAUUAGUUUAGAAUUUCAUAUUAUUUACAGCUCUUUACUUGAGUUUAGCUGUAGCAGAAUGUGGUUCAAAAUGAGUUUUUGGAUUAUUGUUUAUUCUAUUCUAUUGAUAGACAAAUCAUUAGGACUGUUUGUUAGUAUAAUGUUAGAUUACAGAUAGUAGUAUAUUGUAGAGUCGAAACAGUGGUGUUUACCAACACGUUUUAUUUUAUUUCGUUGUUGCAAUUGCUUGUCUUCACCUAUUAUUUUGAUAACUCUCAUUAGUUGUUUGUGUUGUUAAUUAAAUUGGAAUUGAUAAGUCAUUUGAUAUUGUUAAUUGCUAGCAAGAAGUGUGUUGAGAUGAAGGAGAUUACAUGACUAUCUACAGUGUAUAUACUGUGUAUAUACAGUGAUAUUUAUUAUAUCAUCUGGUAUACAAUGUAUGGGCUGUGAUGAUUAUUUGUUGUUGGGGAAAAUGUAUGUGCCGAGCCCAAUGUAUGUCUGAGCCCCAUUUCAUUUAAGUCAUUGGGUCGUCUGACCCGACUGACCCGACCCAUAUGUACAUGUAUAUAUUGGUGGUCCUCAGAUAUUUUGGACGACCGGACUUCAUUUUCAUUUCUGUUCUCUGUUUAAUAAAAUCUCUCUGGGUUCCAGAGUCUUCUCAAACGCUCCUCUUUCUCUCUAGUUUCUCUCUCUACAUUCUUCAUGAUUUUUUGAUUUAAUCUCGAUGUUAACAAAGUGUUACAGGUUUGAGCGGUUAAUUUGUUUCUUGUCAAGUAAAAGUUGAACAACAUUCUUCAUGAUUUUUCGGUUUAAUUUCGAUGUUAUCAUGGUAUCAGAGCCUAGACGACGAUCCGACUAUGUUUAUCUGUACUUCGUUGU